GGAGCACGCCGGACCGCCGCUGGUGCAAGUCUCGAAAGAGCGCACUGGAGGAACGUCCGGACUGCAUAGGACAGCGCAGGAGCUAACGGCUCUCCACCGUGAGGUGAGGAUCAGAGCAACAGAGACGAGUCCCGGGGGCGCAAGCCAUCGGGGGUGAAACGGGCAAUCUCUGCGCGCAGCAACACCAAGUAGGCCAGUAUCGAGGUGGUUCCGCUGAGCUGGCGGGUAGGUGGCAUCGAGCCGUCCGGGCGACCGGCGGCCCAGAGUAAUGGCGGUCACGCCGGGGGCAACCCCGGUGCACAGAAUCCGGCGUACAGGCGCGCUCCACAC
rnacentral:RNase_P_RNA from 1 species